GUUAAUGUGGUUCACUGGUAGAAUAUUUGUUUCAGGCACAAAUGAUAAAGGUUCGAUUCCUUUCAUUAAAA
rnacentral:tRNA from 1 species